rnacentral:rRNA from 1 species
GACGAACGCUGGCGGCGUGCUUAACACAUGCAAGUCGAACGGAAAGGCCCUGCUUUUGUGGGGUGCUCGAGUGGCGAACGGGUGAGUAACACGUGAGUAACCUGCCCUUGACUUUGGGAUAACUUCAGGAAACUGGGGCUAAUACCGGAUAGGAGCUCCUGCUGCAUGGUGGGGGUUGGAGAGUUUCGGCGGUUGGGGAUGGACUCGCGGCUUAUCAGCUUGUUGGUGGGGUAGUGGCUUACCAAGGCUUUGACGGGUAGCCGGCCUGAGAGGGUGACCGGCCACAUUGGGACUGAGAUACGGCCCAGACUCCUACGGGGGGCAACAGUGGGGAAUAUUGCACAAUGGGCGGAAGCCUGAUGCAGCAACGCCGCGUGCGGGAUGACGGCCUUCGGGUUGUAAACCGCUUUCGCCUGUGACGAAGCGUGAGUGACGGUAAUGGGUAAAGAAGCACCGGCUAACUACGUGCCAGCAGCCGCGGUGAUACGUAGGGUGCGAGCGUUGUCCGGAUUUAUUGGGCGUAAAGGGCUCGUAGGUGGUUGAUCGCGUCGGAAGUGUAAUCUUGGGGCUUAACCCUGAGCGUGCUUUCGAUACGGGUUGACUUGAGGAAGGUAGGGGAGAAUGGAAUUCCUGGUGGAGCGGUGGAAUGCGCAGAUAUCAGGAGGAACACCAGUGGCGAAGGCGGUUCUCUGGGCCUUUCCUGACGCUGAGGAGCGAAAGCGUGGGGAGCGAACAGGCUUAGAUACCCUGGUAGUCCGCGCUGUAAACGGUGGGUACUAGGUGUGGGGUCCAUUCCACGGGUUCCGUGCCGUAGCUAACGCUUUAAGUAUCCCGCCUGGGGAGUACGGCCGCAAGGCUAAAACUCAAAGGAAUUGACGGGGCCCCGCACAAGCGGCGGAGCAUGCGGAUUAAUUCGAUGCAACGCGUAGAACCUUACCUGGGUUUGACAUGGAUCGGGAGUGCUCAGAGAUGGGUGUGCCUCUUUUGGGGUCGGUUCACAGGUGGUGCAUGGCUGUCGUCAGCUCGUGUCGUGAGAUGUUGGGUUAAGUCCCGCAACGAGCGCAACCCUUGUUCACUGUUGCCAGCACGUUAUGGUGGGGACUCAGUGGAGACCGCCGGGGUCAACUCGGAGGAAGGUGGGGAUGACGUCAAGUCAUCAUGCCCCUUAUGUCCAGGGCUUCACGCAUGCUACAAUGGCUGGUACAGAGAGUGGCGAGCCUGUGAGGGUGAGCGAAUCUCGGAAAGCCGGUCUCAGUUCGGAUUGGGGUCUGCAACUCGACCUCAUGAAGUCGGAGUCGCUAGUAAUCGCAGAUCAGCAACGCUGCGGUGAAUACGUUCCCGGG